UACGGAGGAUCCGAGCGUUAUCCGGAUUUAUUGGGUUUAAAGGGUGCGUAGGCGGCCUGGUAAGUUAGAGGUGAAAAUUCGAUGCUCAACAUCGAACGUGCCUCUGAUACUGUUGGGCUGGAGAUUGGUUGCGGAAGGCGGAAUGUGUGGUGUAGCGGUGAAAUGCUUAGAUAUCACACAGAACCCCGAUUGCGAAGGCAGCUUUCCAAGCCAUAUCUGACGCUGAUGCACGAAAGCGUGGGUAGCGAACAGGAUUAGAUACCCUGGUAGUCCACGCAGUAAACGAUGAUCACUCGUUGUCGGCGAUACAGAGUCGGUGACUAAGCGAAAGCGAUAAGUGAUCCACCUGGGGAGUACGUUCGCAAGAAUGAAACUCAAAGGAAUUGACGGGGGCCCGCACAAGCGGAGGAACAUGUGGUUUAAUUCGAUGAUACGCGAGGAACCUUACCCGGGCUUGAAAGUUAAUGAUGAUUCUGGAAACAGGAUUUCCCUUCGGGGCAUGAAACUAGGUGCUGCAUGGUUGUCGUCAGCUCGUGCCGUGAGGUGUCGGAUUAAGUUCCAUAACGAGCGCAACCCCUACCGUUAGUUGCCAUCAGGUAAAGCUGGGGACUCUAAUGGGACUGCCGGUGUAAGCCGAGAGGAAGGUGGGGAUGACGUCAAAUCAGCACGGCCCUUACGUCCGGGGCGACACACGUGUUACAAUGGUCGGUACAGAGGGCAGCUACCCAGCGAUGGGAUGCGAAUCUCGAAAGCCGAUCUCAGUUCGGAUUGGAGGCUGAAACCCGCCUCCAUGAAGUUGGAUUCGCUAGUAAUCGCGCAUCAGCCAUGGCGCGGUGAAUACGUUCCCGGGCCUU
rnacentral:rRNA from 1 species